rnacentral:pre_miRNA from 1 species
AAUGAAAUAACUGGGUCAAAUGUUGUCUCCAUUCUAAGUUUUCUAAGGAAUCUCCAUACUGCUUUCCAUACUGGUUGCACCAGUUUGCAGUCCCACCAGCAAU